AUACGGAGGGUGCAAGCGUUACUCGGAAUCACUGGGCGUAAAGCGCGCGCAGGCGGUCUUUUAAGUUGGAUGUGAAAGCCUACGGCUCAACCGUAGAACUGCAUCCAAAACUAUUAGACUAGAGUGUGGGAGAGGAAGAUGGAAUUAGUUGUGUAGGGGUAAAAUCCGUAGAGAUAACUAGGAAUACCAAAAGCGAAGGCAAUCUUCUGGAACACUACUGACGCUGAGGCGCGAAAGCGUGGGGAGCAAACAGGAUUAGAAACCCGGGUAGUCC
rnacentral:rRNA from 1 species